rnacentral:rRNA from 1 species
AGCUUGCUCUGUGGAUCAGUGGCGAACGGGUGAGUAACACGUGAGCAAUCUGCCCCUGACUCUGGGAUAAGCGCUGGAAACGGCGUCUAAUACCGGAUACGAGCUGCGACCGCAUGGUCAGUAGCUGGAAAGAAUUUCGGUCAGGGAUGAGCUCGCGGCCUAUCAGCUUGUUGGUGAGGUAAUGGCUCACCAAGGCGUCGACGGGUAGCCGGCCUGAGAGGGUGACCGGCCACACUGGGACUGAGACACGGCCCAGACUCCUACGGGAGGCAGCAGUGGGGAAUAUUGCACAAUGGGCGAAAGCCUGAUGCAGCAACGCCGCGUGAGGGAUGACGGCCUUCGGGUUGUAAACCUCUUUUAGCAGGGAAGAAGCGAAAGUGACGGUACCUGCAGAAAAAGCGCCGGCUAACUACGUGCCAGCAGCCGCGGUAAUACGUAGGGCGCAAGCGUUAUCCGGAAUUAUUGGGCGUAAAGAGCUCGUAGGCGGUCUGUCGCGUCUGCUGUGAAAACCCGAGGCUCAACCUCGGGCCUGCAGUGGGUACGGGCAGACUAGAGUGCGGUAGGGGAGAUUGGAAUUCCUGGUGUAGCGGUGGAAUGCGCAGAUAUCAGAGGAACACCGAUGGCGAAAGCAGAUCUCUGGGCCGUAACUGACGCUGAGGAGCGAAAGGGUGGGGAGCAAACAGGCUUAGAUACCUGGUAGUCCACCCCGUAAACGUUGGGAACUAGUUGUGGGGUCCAUUCCACGGAUUCCGUGACGCAGCUAACGCAUUAAGUUCCCCGCCUGGGGAGUACGGCCGCAAGGCUAAAACUCAAAGGAAUUGACGGGGACCCGCACAAGCGGCGGAGCAUGCGGAUUAAUUCGAUGCAACGCGAAGAACCUUACCAAGGCUUGACAUAUAGAGGAAACGUCUGGAAACAGUCGCCCCGCAAGGUCUCUAUACAGGUGGUGCAUGGUUGUCGUCAGCUCGUGUCGUGAGAUGUUGGGUUAAGUCCCGCAACGAGCGCAACCCUCGUUCUAUGUUGCCAGCACGUAAUGGUGGGAACUCAUGGGAUACUGCCGGGGUCAACUCGGAGGAAGGUGGGGAUGACGUCAAAUCAUCAUGCCCCUUAUGUCUUGGGCUUCACGCAUGCUACAAUGGCCGGUACAAAGGGCUGCAAUACCGUGAGGUGGAGCGAAUCCCAAAAAGCCGGUCCCAGUUCGGAUUGAGGUCUGCAACUCGACCUCAUGAAGUCGGAGUCGCUAGUAAUCGCAGAUCAGCAACGCUGCGGUGAAUACGUUCCCGGGUCUUGUACACACCGCCCGUCAAGUCAUGAAAGUCGGUAACACCUGAAGCCGGUGGCCCAACCCUUGUGGAGGGAGCC